rnacentral:rRNA from 1 species
ACACUAUGUGUUGUUGGGUAGGGGAGCGUUCUGUAAGCCUGCGAAGGUGACCUGUGAGGGUUGCUGGAGGUAUCAGAAGUGCGAAUGCUGACAUAAGUAACGAUAAAGCGGGUGAAAAGCCCGCUCGCCGGAAGACCAAGGGUUCCUGUCCAACGUUAAUCGGGGCAGGGUGAGUCGACCCCUAAGGCGAGGCCGAAAGGCGUAGUCGAUGGGAAACAGGUUAAUAUUCCUGUACUUGGUGUUACUGCGAAGGGGGGACGGAGAAGGCUAUGUUAGCCGGGCGACGGUUGUCCCGGUUUAAGCAUGUAGGC